AUGGCGGUCAAGGUCUACGUCGUGUACUACUCCAUGUAUGGUCAUGUUGCUAAGCUAGCUGAUGAGAUCAAGAAAGGUGCUUCCUCUGUCGAAGGCGUGGAGGUUAAAGUGUGGCAGGUCCCUGAGAUCCUGAACGAGGAAGUCCUUGGCAAGAUGGGCGCCCCGCCCAAGACCGACGUGCCAGUGAUCUCCCCUCAGGAGCUGGCGGAGGCCGACGGCGUCCUGUUCGGGUUCCCGACGAGGUUCGGCAUGAUGGCGGCGCAGAUGAAGGCGUUCUUCGACGCGACGGGCGGGCUGUGGAGGGAGCAGAGCCUGGCGGGGAAGCCGGCGGGCGUGUUCUUCAGCACGGGCACGCAGGGCGGCGGGCAGGAGACGACGCCGCUGACGGCGGUGACCCAGCUGACCCACCACGGCAUGGUGUUCGUGCCGGUGGGGUACACGUUCGGCGCCAAGAUGUUCGACAUGGACAAGGUGCAGGGCGGCAGCCCGUACGGCGCCGGCACGUUCGCGGGGGACGGGUCGCGGUGGCCGUCGGAGAUGGAGCUGGAGCACGCCUUCCACCAGGGCAAGUACUUCGCCGGCAUCGCCAAGAAGCUCAAGGGCUCCUCCGCCUGA
rnacentral:rRNA from 1 species